CCUACGGGUGGCAGCAGUGAGGAAUAUUGGUCAAUGGGCGCGAGCCUGAACCAGCCAAGUCGCGUGAGGGAGGACGGCCCUACGGGUUGUAAACCUCUUUUGCCGGGGAGCAACGGGCGCCACGUGUGGCGUCACUGAGAGUACCCGGAGAAAAAGCAUCGGCUAACUCCGUGCCAGCAGCCGCGGUAAUACGGAGGAUGCGAGCGUUAUCCGGAUUUAUUGGGUUUAAAGGGUGCGUAGGCGGGCUUUUAAGUCAGCGGUAAAAAUUCGGGGCUCAACCCCGUCCGGCCGUUGAAACUGGGGGCCUUGAGUGGGCGAGAAGAAGGUGGAAUGCGUGGUGUAGCGGUGAAAUGCAUAGAUAUCACGCAGAACCCCGAUUGCGAAGGCAGCCUUCCGGCGCCCUACUGACGCUGAGGCACGAAAGUGCGGGGAUCGAACAGGAUUAGAUACCCUUGUAGUC
rnacentral:rRNA from 1 species